CAGUCGCCGCGGGAAAACAGAGGGUGCAAGCGUUAAUCGGAAUUACUGGGCGUAAAGCGCGCGUAGGUGGUUUGUUAAGUUGGAUGUGAAAGCCCCGGGCUCAACCUGGGAACUGCAUCCAAAACUGGCAAGCUAGAGUACGGUAGAGGGUGGUGGAAUUUCCUGUGUAGCGGUGAAAUGCGUAGAUAUAGGAAGGAACACCAGUGGCGAAGGCGACCACCUGGACUGAUACUGACACUGAGGUGCGAAAGCGUGGGGAGCAAACAGGAUUAGAUACCCGUGUAGUCCCUGUCUCUUAUAC
rnacentral:rRNA from 1 species